rnacentral:rRNA from 1 species
AGCAGCCGCGGUAAUUCCAGCUCCAAUAGCGUAUAUUAAAGUUGUUGCAGUUAAAAAGCUCGUAGUUGAAUUUCGGGAUCAAUAUGUUGGUCGUGCCUUGGUACGUACUGGCAUUAUUGGUUUCUACCUUCUGAAGAACCUCGAUGUCAUUAAUUUGGUGUCUUGGGGAAUCAGGACUGUUACUUUGAAAAAAUUAGAGUGUUUAAAGCAAGCUAACGCUUGAAUACAUUAGCAUGGAAUAAUGAAAUAGGACGUUCGAUCCUAUUUUGUUGGUUUCUAGGAUUGACGUAAUGAUUAAUAGGGAUAGUUGGGGGCAUUAGUAUUCAAUUGUCAGAGGUGAAAUUCUUGGAUUUAUUGAAGACUAACUACUGCGAAAGCAUUUGCCAAGGAUGUUUUCAUUAAUCAAGAACGAAAGUUAGGGGAUCGAAGACGAUCAGAUACCGUCGUAGUCUUAACCAUAAACUAUGUCGACUAGGGAUCGGAUGAUGUUAAUUUUUUAAUGACUCAUUCGGCACCUUACG